AAAUCGUACUUGAUUCGGGCUCGGCCGAUCCUCCCACCCUUUGUGUACCUACCUCUGUUGCUUUGGCGGGCCGCGGUCCUCCGCGGCCGCCCCCCUCCCCGGGGGGGUGGCCAGCGCCCGCCAGAGGACCAUCAAACUCCAGUCAGUAAACGAUGCAGUCUGAAAAACAUUUAAUAAACUAAAACUUUCAACAACGGAUCUCUUGGUUCUGGCAUCGAUGAAGAACGCAGCGAAAUGCGAUAAGUAAUGUGAAUUGCAGAAUUCAGUGAAUCAUCGAAUCUUUGAACGCACAUUGCGCCCUUUGGUAUUCCGAAGGGCAUGCCUGUUCGAGCGUCAUUACAACCCUCAAGCUCUGCUUGGUAUUGGGCACCGUCCUUUGCGGGCGCGCCUCAAAGACCUCGGCGGUGGCGUCUUGCCUCAAGCGUAGUAGAACAUACAUCUCGCUUCGGAGCGCAGGGCGUCGCCCGCCGGACGAACCUUCUGAACUUUUCUCAAGGUUGACCUCGGAUCAGGUAGGGAUACCCGCUGAACUUAAGCAUAUCAUAAGGCGGAGGAA
rnacentral:rRNA from 1 species